UUCUGUUAAUCAUCUGCUGUGUUUGCUUCAGGUAAAGAGGUGGGACAAGGAUGCUGACAGGACAGGAGGAGGUGACAUUCAGACAUUCAACGCAGACAUUUUCAUCCAAAGCAACUUGAAGAAGAAAACAGAAGCAGUUCAUCCUAAAAGUGGGCUGCUGUAAUGUUUACAUCUAUGGAAAGAGGAGCUGAGAAGAAAAGAGAGGCUGGAAAGCAGUACUUCUUGUUGAGGACAAUCCUGAAUAGGAACACUUUCUCAUAGACAUAGAUUAUUAUUAGUGUUUGAUUGUUUGUUUCAUUUUUAUGAAUUGUAUUGUUUUAAUUUUUCGUUUUAUUUGAAAUUACCUAAGUUAGAUUCAUGCUAAUACUUUAACUGGACCUUGUAUCUUUGCUGGCUGGCUGGCUGUAGAGUUGGUUUCACAUACACAUGAAGUUUCUAAUUAACUAACUUUUAAGUUCAGUUUGGUUUAAACUUGUAUUUACCCAUGGUAAUUCAUUUAAAUUUCUAUUCAUGCUUAUAUAUUAAUUUCAAUGAACUUCUGUAUUUGUGUAUAGCUGGCAAUUUGGGCAAGCUACGUUUAACACACAAAUGUAUGUCACAAAGGUUUUUUUUAUUAUCAGUUUGUUCUAAACUUUUGUUUGUUUACUAAGGAUGAAAUUGCUUUGUAAUUUAAGUUGUUGGUAGAUUCAUGCCAAUAAUGUAUUUGAACAAACUAGUAUUUUUGAUUAUUGCUGGCAGUUUAUACUAGAAGAGUUUUAACACAUACAAUGUUGUAGUGUUAUUGACUUG